GUUUUUAGGCAGAUGGAUGAGUUUUUAGGGAGCUGCAUUUAGAAAUACCUCCAGUCCCGUAUUUUGUUGUUGUUUUUGGAAAGCAGGGAAGGAGAUCAGUCUUGGGGUCCUGUCAGGAGCCUUCAGAUGUCCUCUCUCUUUAAUGCUCCAUCACACUCUCUCUCUCUGUGCUUUCAUCCUUAAAUACGUGUGACCAAGGUGAGAGGCAAAGAGCUGCUGAGAGUGGGUGGGGGUGCAUGAGGGGACAGGUACGAGACCAUCACAGUCACCCCACUGCAGCAACCCAGGGAGCUGACGCUCAGGACUGGGGAAGCAGAAUGGGUUUGUUCUGCCUCUGGGCUGGAGGGAAACUUCUUUUCGUUACCCUGGAAACAUGAAGACGACAGAUCCAUCGUUCGUUGGCAAGAGGGAGAGGAUGAGAGAGAAGUACGUGACAAAAAAGCCAUCUCCCUGAUGAGGGCCAGAGAGUCCUGGUUUGGCACAGCAGACCGUCAACCAGAACACACUGCACAACUCCCUGACACAUUCAGAGCCAUCAUUAGGUCUCACUGAAACUCCACACUGGUGAAGGUUUUAUCACAGUGACCUCCUACAACAUCACAAACCCCAAACUAUCAUCACCCCCGUUCUCCAAAAAGAACGUGAAGAGAUGGAUGAGCAGCUCUCUGCUGUCUUUCAGCACAAAACCUGGAAAAUAUGAAGAUGAGAGCCAAAAAGCAAAUAAAGACUUGGUUCUUGUUUUAAGAUGUUCUGUGAUUGCUGGAGAUGCUCCUGCGCUAGAGAGGGAAGAGGUUUGAUCGAUGGCCACGGGGUUCGGAGGAAGCACUGCUGAUAAGUUCUUGUCAGGAUAUGAGCCACAGGAGACAAGGAGCAGCAAGAACAGGAGAUCUGAGCCACUCUUAGGAAGAAUUACCAUUUUUCUGCACCUUUUCAUAAGUGCAUAAGAGGCCAUGGGAUCCCUCUGGGUACCAGAAACAGGACGGCUCUUUCUCUGCCCAGCCCAGGACCAGUGUGCAGAAACUCACCUUUUCACCCAAGGAAGGAACUGAUGUCACCACAGGAAAAUCUGUGACAUCUCUGGGAGGAUCUGUGAGCCUGUGGCCACAGCAGGGCACAACUGCAGCAACCAGAGUCUUGCCAAGAAAAACAGGAGUUGAGCUGGUUUUGGAGUGGGUGUGACUUGGAUUUACUCCCCAAAAGAUUGCAAAGGUGUGCCCAGACACACUCCAAGCCAUGCAGCAGGACUGCACGAGACCCUCUGUGUGUGCACACACACUUCAGGGGUGUCUCCAUGAUCCCCACGAGGGAUUCGUGUCCUGGGGCGCGGGGCACAGCAGAGGGUGUUGUGCUGGCUGCUGUGGAGCGGGUUCUCACUUACUCUUCCCCAUGCUGACUAGCAUGUCAAAGUCAAAUGUGUUUGCAUGCAAGUGUCCGCAGUCACCCACCAAAUGUGUUCUCCCUGCUUGAUCCAUCCAAUUACAUGACUGACUGUGCCCAGACUCAGUGGAGAUUGAUAGCGUUGGGAUCGGACUGCGGUCAAGGAAUUGGAAAUCUGCUUUGAGGUGAGUCCUGCUUCAAGUAUAGCUCAAAUUCAAAUUAUUUCAGUUGUAACAGAGAGGGGGAAGAGAAACAGAGUAGGUGAAAUAAUAGCUACUGUCUAGCUAAGAUAAGCCAGGCAAGACAAAAUAUUAAUUCUGAUUCUGUUAGCACACCAAACAGAGAGACAUGUAAUUCCAUCCACCUGUCCACAUCAGAGAACAUUACUGUCACUGAUGGUGCAUAAUUCAGGGGUGAUAAAUCAGUAAAACCAGGUAGAAAUGGUAACAUUCCACUAUUUGAUGCAUUGAUAAUAAGCCUGUCUGAGAAAUCGAGGUUCUCAGAGUUAGUGGCUCACAUUUCUUUGCAGGUGGAGGUGUGGGUUGGCUCUGAAGCUCUCAAGGUUCACAAGCCUCACUGAUAGCGGAGAACAUUUCCAACCCCCUGAACAAGCCCAGCACCAGGCUGAAUGUGACCCAUCUCCUCAAGCUCGUGCCCAUGUCCAUGUCCAUCACUUGCUCCAAAUGGUGGAUGAGAUGGCUUCAGACCUGGAGAUGGAACCCUGCCCUGCCAGCUCUGCCAGUGACUUGCUGUGUCAUCUUGAGCAAUCACCAUGGCUAGAUACAGCCCCUUCCUAUCAGAUGGCUCAUACAGGUGCUCUCAUUAACCUCACUAGCUAAUGAGCCAAAGCCAUCACGCAAAUCUGUUGAUGAGGCUCACUUGGAGUCUUAGAACACAAGUAUUGCUCCACCAGCCCUCAGUAUUCCAUCCAACACGAUCAAAAGUCUCUUCCCUAAGGCUUGCCAGCACAGCAGGGGUAAAAGGAAAUUGGACUGGGCUCACUGCUUGCUCGGAAACAGAGGUUUUGCAGGUAUAACAUGAGGAGUUCAAAUCAGCAUUGAGACGAAACUGUUCCCUACUCUAUGAAAUUAGAGCAUUUCAGAAGAAGGGCACAACCAUUUUAUGGAGCAUCCUCAGUUUGUCAUUUUCCCUGCUGCUCCAAUCACUUUGGUCUACCCUGGAGAAGUAUAAUCACCACCAAACACAAAACAAAGCCAGGAAAAAAAAUCUCAUGGUUCAGGGAAGUAGGGAAACCUGCGACUCAAGCUGUGUCUCUGCAGGAACUGGAGAAAGCUGCAGCUUUCUGCAGCUACCUGGAGCUUAACUGCCACUUAAAGGAAUUAUCUUCUGCCUUUAUCCCUAAGAAAAACAACUAUUUGUAGGGAGCAGACAGACAGACGGGGAAGCACAUUGGAAAUUGCUUUGUAGACCUGCUUCCUCUCCUUUCCCCUUGAUCAAAGUGACAGAAAAUAGAAACAAUAAUUCAGUCAAGAGCAACAGGAAAGAGAAGAAUUGCUGGGAAGGGCAUGAGCUUCCAGAAGCUGGAAUAGGAAAGGCCACUUCCCAGCAUCUCCUGAUCUCGUGUUCCUUCCUCAAGCACCUGCAGCUGUUUGAUGGCCUGGCCCUACAUCUUGCCAAGGACACCCUUCCUACGUCACCUCUCAGUGUACCUUGUGUUGCUUUUGGCAUUAUCACAACUAAUGUUUUUAGGGAAUUUUCCCAGCAUUUGAUAGUCCAGUGCCUUCGCUGGGAUUCUGCCAGGAAGAGUACUUCUUCUCUCCUUUUAAGAGAAAAAGCAGCUCUGUCCUCUUUCAGAUACACCAGGAAUAACUCCUUGCUGAAAUGAGCUCCUGGCUGUGGGAGAAAGGCACUGCACUGACAGGCCUGAAAACUGACAACCCACUAUUAAACUACAAAAGAGUCACCUCCCCAGUGGUGGUGGUGGCUUGGCAGCAGGAGACUCCUCUCUUCCAGCAUCCUUUUACUGUACUAAAAGCUUCAGAGGAAGUUGUAAGCAGCCAGAACUGAGCAGAUCUAGCCAAAUGUAUCAGGAGCUUAAACCCUGGCUUAACCCCGAGUUGUGCUUUCUCUGCCCUCUUCAUUGUCAUACAGCCUCACCUCAUGACUUUAUGUCCGGAGUCCGAACACCUCUCUGAGCACUUGGUAAUGAGCUCACGGCUAGACCAAGGCUUCAGUUAACUCAUUUUUGCUUUUUUUCUCCUUUUAUUCUCCAUGUUAGUGCCUCAUUAGUCUAUGGGUGGUUCUCCUCACUCCCACAUCUACCUUGUGUCCCUGUCUCUUCUUCAUCCGAGCACAUCUGUACACAUCAACCCACAAACACUAUCUGUUUCAUUCUCAGCAUUUGGCUUUUGAGCAUUUGCUUUCAGAAGCACUAAAAUCAUCUAAAAUAAUCCAGACUCUUCCAUGGCACCACAUUCUCCACUUCACUAUCAGCAAAGACUUUAAUUUUUUUUCCUUUUUUCACUGUGGAAUAUUUUAAUUCAAACCACCCAGCAUUUCCUGCGCAUGCCCUGGGAGGCAGAGCAGGAGUGGGAAAGGCCUCAAAUUAACAGCAUAAAAAGGGAGUGAUGGAAGAACGGCACUGGGCCAGGAAGACUUGAUCUAGACAUUCAUAUCCCAAAGAAUAA